ensembl:lncRNA
AGGGCAGGGGUUUGGAGGGAGGAGGGUAGGAGUUUGGAGGGAGGAGAGCGUUGGUUUGAAGGUAUGAGGAAUGGAGGAGGGUAGAGGUUUGGAGGGAGGAGAGCAGGGAUUUGGAGGGAGGAGGGCAGGGGUUUGGAGGGAGGAGACCAGGGGUUUGGAGGGCGGAGAGCAGGGGUUUGGAGGGCGGAGGGCAGGGGUUUGGGGGGAGUAGGGUAGGAGCUUGGAGGGAGGAGAGCAGGGGUUUGGAGGGAGGAGACCAGGGGUUUGGAGGGAGGAGAGCAGAGGUUUGUAGGAAGGAGAGCAGAGGUUUGGAGGGAGGAGAGCAGAGGUUUGUAGGAAGGAGAGCAGAGGUUUGGAGGGAGGAGAGCAGAGGUUUGGAGGGAGGAGAGCAGAGGUUUGGAGGGAGGAGAGCAGGGGUUUGGAGGGAGGAGAGCAGAGGUUUGGAGGGAGGAGAGCAGGGGUUUGGAGGGAGGAGGUAGGGAGUAGGGUAGGAGCUUGGAGGGAGGAGGGCAGGGGUUUGGAGGGAGGAGGUAGGGAGUAGGGUAGGAGCUUGGAGGGAGGAGAGCAGGGGUUUGGAGGUGGGAUGGAUGAGAGCAGAGUUUUGGAGGGAGGAGGGAUAAGAGCAGAGGUUUGGAGUGAGAUGGAAUGGAGGAAGGCAGAGGUUUGGAGGGAGGAG